GAUGGCUCACGCAUUACAGGAGGGAAAAGGCACCAAACCACUACAUCGUCUAGUUUAUUACAAUGCCUCUGAUUAAGUCUUAGAUACGUCGAAGAGGAUGAGACUAAACGGGACUUGGAACCAGUUCACCAGUAACUUGGCAACUGACGAAGUGGUUGAAGAGGUGCUUGAUCAUCUGUCAAGGUGCAUCAUUCUUAAGGAAAUGUCCUUUGACUCUAAACAGUGGGCCGGACUCCAGCAAGAUGAGAACUUUUUAGUUGAUGUCAUUUUAAUUAUGGGGCUGGAUGGGAGGCCCCCUUAUCAUAUUAGCUGAACUCUUCAGCCAGACCGCAAUGGAUCACAUUCACAUACAUCUGCAUGGAGAUGCCUUUGUUGUUUACUGAAGGAAUCCACUGGGGCCUUGCAGGCUUCAAAUAGCUUUUGGCCUUUGGAGAAGAUCAUGUUAAAGAAGCUCUGACGAAGGCCUUGAAGCAGAUUCUUAAUAAAAAGCAGUGAUACUAACGA